rnacentral:misc_RNA from 1 species
GAUGAAGAACGUAGCGAAAUGCGAUACGUAGUGUGAAUUGCAGAAUUCAGUGAAUCAUCGAAUCUUUGAACGCACAUUGCACCUCUCGGUAUUCCGGGAGGUAUGCCUGUUCGAGCGUCAUUUGUACCCUCAAGCUCUGCUUGGUGUUGGGUGUUUGUUCCGCCCUGUGUGUGAACUCGCCUCAAAACAAUUGGCAGCCGGCGUACUUGUUUCGGAGCGCAGCACAUUUUGCGAUCCAGAUCAACGUACAGCGGCAUCCAAGAAGCCUUAUUUAACGCUCUUGACCUCGGAUCAGGUAGGGAUACCCGCUGAACUUAAGCAUAUCAAUAAGCGGAGGA